CUACGGGAGGCACCAGUCAAGAAUCUUCCGCAAUGCACGAAAGUGUGACGGAGCGACGCCGCGUGGUGGAUGAAGGCCUUCGGGUCGUAAACACCUUUUAUUAGGGACGAACAAAUGACGGUACCUAAUGAAUAAGGGGUUGCUAACUCUGUGCCAGCAGCAGCGGUAAUACAGAGACCUCAAACGUUGUCCGAAGUUAUUGGGCGUAAAGGGUCCGCAGGUGGUUAUGUGCGUCAUAUGUCAAAUCUUUGGGCUUAACCCAAAGGCUGCGUAUGAUACGACAUGACUAGAGGCUGGGAGAGGUACACGGAAUGGCCGGUGUAGGGGUAAAAUCCGUUCAUAUCGGCUAGAACACCAAAGGCGAAGGCAGUGUACUGGAACAAGCCUGACACUCAGGGACGAAAGCGUGGGUAGCGAAUGGGAUUAGAUACCCUCGUAGUC
rnacentral:rRNA from 1 species